UACGUAGGUGGCAAGCGUUGUCCGGAUUUACUGGGCGUAAAGAGCGCGCAGGCGGUCGUUCAAGUCGCGUGUGAAAGCCCCCGGCUCAACUGGGGAGGGUCACGCGAUACUGAUCGACUCGAAGGCAGGAGAGGGAAGUGGAAUUCCCGGUGUAGUGGUGAAAUGCGUAGAUAUCGGGAGGAACACCUGCGGCGAAGGCGGGUUGCUGGGCUGAUACUGACGCUGAGGCGCGAAAGCCAGGGGAGCGAACGGG
rnacentral:rRNA from 1 species